GGCAUCUUGGCGGAGUGGUUAACGCGAGAGAUUAGAAUUAAAUAUCUCUUCCGAUUUUCGGGCGCAUGUUCGAAUCAUGCAGAUGUCG
rnacentral:tRNA from 1 species